rnacentral:rRNA from 1 species
ACUCCUACGGGAGGCAGCAGUGGGGAAUAUUGCGCAAUGGGGGAAGCCCUGAUGCAGCAAUGCCGCGUGAAGGAUGAAGGUUUUCGGAUUGUAAACUUCUUUUGUACGGGACGAAACAAAUGACGGUACCGUAAGAAUAAGCCACGGCUAACUACGUGCCAGCAGCCGCGGUAAUAC